GGAGGCUUAGCUCAGCUGGGCGAGCAUCUGCCUUACAAGCAGAGGGUCGGCGGUUCGAGCCCGUCAUCCUCCACCA
rnacentral:tRNA from 1 species